rnacentral:rRNA from 2 species
UCACACGCACGUGGAGCGCUAGCACACGAGAGCCUGCUCUCUGGGUGACGAGCGGCGGACGGGUGAGUAAUGUCUGGGAAACUGCCUGAUGGAGGGGGAUAACUACUGGAAACGGUAGCUAAUACCGCAUAACGUCUUCGGACCAAAGUGGGGGACCUUCGGGCCUCAUGCCAUCAGAUGUGCCCAGAUGGGAUUAGCUAGUAGGUGGGGUAAUGGCUCACCUAGGCGACGAUCCCUAGCUGGUCUGAGAGGAUGACCAGCCACACUGGAACUGAGACACGGUCCAGACUCCUACGGGAGGCAGCAGUGGGGAAUAUUGCACAAUGGGCGCAAGCCUGAUGCAGCCAUGCCGCGUGUGUGAAGAAGGCCUUCGGGUUGUAAAGCACUUUCAGCGAGGAGGAAGGGUUCAGUGUUAAUAGCACUGUUCAUUGACGUUACUCGCAGAAGAAGCACCGGCUAACUCCGUGCCAGCAGCCGCGGUAAUACGGAGGGUGCAAGCGUUAAUCGGAAUUACUGGGCGUAAAGCGCACGCAGGCGGUUUGUUAAGUCAGAUGUGAAAUCCCCGCGCUUAACGUGGGAACUGCAUUUGAA